GCGGUCUGUAUACAGGUGCUGCAUGCUGUCGUCAGCUCGUGCUGUGAAGUGUUGGGUUAAGUCCGCAACGAGCGCAACCCUAUCAUCUGUUGCCAGCAUUUAAGGUGGGGACUCAGAUGAGACUGCCGGUGACAAACCGGAGGAAGGUGGGGACGACGUCAAGUCAUCAUGGCCCUUAUGUCCUGGGCUACACACGUGCUACAAUGGCCGGUACAGAGUGAAGCGAAACCGCGAGGUGAAGCAAAACGCAGAAAGCCGGUCUCAGUACGGAUUGGAGUCUGAAACUCGACUUCAUGAAGUUGGAAUCGCUAGUAAUCGCGCAUCAGCAUGGCGCGGUGAAUACGUUCCCGGGCCUU
rnacentral:rRNA from 1 species